UUCGGUGCCACAGCGGGAGAGGCCCCACCCGUUCCCAUCCCGAACACGGUCGUUAAGCUCUCCAGCGCCGAUGGUACCUGCGCGGGCAACUGCGUGGGAGAGUAGGUCGCCGCCGAAU
rnacentral:rRNA from 1 species